rnacentral:rRNA from 1 species
UACGUAGGGGGCAAGCGUUGUCCGGAAUCAUUGGGCGUAAAGAGCGUGUAGGCGGCCCGAUAAGUCCGCUGUGAAAGUCCAGGGCUCAACCCUGUGAUGCCGGUGGAUACUGUCGGGCUCGAGUCCGGAAGAGGAGUGUGGAAUUCCUGGUGUAGCGGUGAAAUGCGCAGAUAUCAGGAGGAACACCAAUGGCGAAGGCAGCACUCUGGGACGUGACUGACGCUGAGACGCGAAAGCGUGGGGAGCAAACAGG